UACGUAGGGGGCAAGCGUUGUCCGGAUUUAUUGGGCGUAAAGCGCGUGUAGGCGGCCACACAGGUCCGCUGUGAAAACUCGAGGCUCAACCUCGAGCUGUCGGUGGAAACCGUGUGGCUAGAGUCCGGAAGAGGAGACUGGAAUUCCCGGUGUAGCGGUGGAAUGCGCAGAUAUCGGGAGGAACACCAGUGGCGCAAGCGGCGGCCUGGGUAUGACCUGACACUGAGCCACGACGGCGUGGGGAGCAAACGGG
rnacentral:rRNA from 1 species